CCUACGGGAGGCAGCAGUGAGGAAUAUUGGUCAAUGGGCGGGAGCCUGAACCAGCCAAGUCGCGUGAGGGACGACGGUCCAACGGAUCGUAAACCUCUUUUGUCAGGGAACAAAGGCGCCCACGAGUGGGCGGAUGAGUGUACCUGAAGAAAAAGCAUCGGCUAACUCCGUGCCAGCAGCCGCGGUAAUACGGAGGAUGCGAGCGUUAUCCGGAUUUAUUGGGUUUAAAGGGUGCGCAGGCGGACAGUCAAGUCAGCGGUAAAAGUGCGGGGCUCAACGCCGUAGAGCCGUUGAAACUGGCAGUCUGGAGUGGGCGAGAAGUACGCGGAAUGCGCGGUGUAGCGGUGAAAUGCAUAGAUAUCGCGCAGAACUCCGAUUGCGAAGGCAGCAUACCGGCGCCACACUGACGCUGAGGCACGAAAGCGUGGGUAUCGAACAGGAUUAGAUACCCGGGUAGUC
rnacentral:rRNA from 1 species